rnacentral:lncRNA from 1 species
UGUACAGUAACUAACAAAUAUAUUUUGACAAGCCACGUGACAGUUAACUCGGAAGCUGGUUCACUGUUUACGAUAUACUUAUUUUGGUAAAAUACAAUAUUGCAGCAAUCAGUAUCCAAGAUGGAAGUCAAAACAAGAAAAUUCUCUUUUCAACAUCUCAAUUCAAAGAAAUUUUCUUCAAUAGAGAGUAAAGAAAGUCAAGAAUCCUUUCUUAAAUGGU